rnacentral:rRNA from 1 species
GACGAACGCUGGCGGCGUGCUUAACACAUGCAAGUCGAGCGAUGAAGCUCCUUCGGGAGUGGAUUAGCGGCGGACGGGUGAGUAACACGUGGGUAACCUGCCUCAUAGAGGGGAAUAGCCUUCCGAAAGGAAGAUUAAUACCGCAUAAGAUUGUAGUACCGCAUGGUACAGCAAUUAAAGGAGUAAUCCGCUAUGAGAUGGACCCGCGUCGCAUUAGCUAGUUGGUGAGGUAACGGCUCACCAAGGCGACGAUGCGUAGCCGACCUGGGAGGGUGAUCGGCCACAUUGGGACUGAGACACGGCCCAGACUCCUACGGGAGGCAGCAGUGGGGAAUAUUGCACAAUGGGGGAAACCCUGAUGCAGCAACGCCGCGUGAGUGAUGACGGUCUUCGGAUUGUAAAACUCUGUCUUCAGGGGCGAUAAUGACGGUACCUGAGGAGGAAGCCACGGCUAACUACGUGCCAGCCGCCGCCGUAA